AGUCUGAAGAUGGCGGCCUCAGCAGCGAGAGGUGCUGCGGCGCUGCGUAGAAGUAUCAAUCAGCCGGUUGCUUUUGUGAGAAGAAUUCCUUGGACUGCGGCGUCGAGGAUCAUAGUCCACAUAGCACAGUAACUGGUAUGAAAACACUCGAUAUUUGCUGAGGAUGGAGACUGCAGCCAACUCAACAACUUCUCUGUCCAUCUCACCACCAAGUCUGGUCAGCUGAAAGAACACUUUGCACAGUUCGGCCAUGUCAGAAGGUGCAUUUUACCUUUUGACAAGGAGACUGGCUUUCACAGAGGUUUGGGUUGGGUUCAGUUUUCUUCAGAAGAAGGACUUCGGAAUGCACUACAACAGGAAAAUCAUAUUAUAGAUGGAGUAAAGGUCCAGGUUCACACUAGAAGGCCAAAACUUCCGCAAACAUCUGAUGAUGAAAAGAAAGAUUUUUGAGACUGCAGCCUAUUAAUAAAGUUAACAUAACUGAGAA